GACGAACGCUGGCGGCGUGCCUAAUACAUGCAAGUCGAGCGGAUUCAUGAGGGAGCUUGCUCCCGAUUGGGUUAGCGGCGGACGGGUGAGUAACACGUAGGCAACCUGCCUGUAAGACCGGGAUAACAUUCGGAAACGGAUGCUAAUACCGGAUACGCGCUUCCCUCGCAUGGGGGGAUCGGGAAAGACGGUGCAAGCUGUCACUUACGGAUGGGCCUGCGGCGCAUUAGCUAGUUGGUGGGGUAACGGCUCACCAAGGCGACGAUGCGUAGCCGACCUGAGAGGGUGAUCGGCCACACUGGGACUGAGACACGGCCCAGACUCCUACGGGAGGCAGCAGUAGGGAAUCUUCCGCAAUGGACGAAAGUCUGACGGAGCAACGCCGCGUGAGUGAUGAAGGUUCUCGGAUCGUAAAGCUCUGUUGCCAGGGAAGAACACUCGGGAGAGUAACUGCUCCUGAGAUGACGGUACCUGAGAAGAAAGCCCCGGCUAACUACGUGCCAGCCGCCGCGGUAA
rnacentral:rRNA from 1 species